AUAUAUAUAUAUAUAUAUAUAUAUAUAUAUAUAUAUAUAUAAAAUAAAAAUGGUAUUUUAUUUUUAAUAUAAAUAUAUUAUUAUAUAAUAUUUUAUUUAUAAAUAUUAUUUAUAAUUAUUUAAUAAUUUAUUUUAUAGUAUUAUAUAUUAUAUUGCAUAUUUAAUUAUUGCAUAAUAUAUUUUAAAUAUAUUUUAUUAUAAAUAUAAAUUAUAAUACUAAUAUAUAUAUAUAAUAUGAUAAUAAUUAUAUAUUAAUAAUAUAAAAUAUAUAAAAUAAAAAUUAUAUAAUAAUUUUUAUUUAUACUUUUUUUUCUUUCAACCAAACAACCAUCGUGGAAAAUUAUUUUUCUUUUUCUACAAACCAAACACCAAGCAACGUAAAAAAUUUUUUCACCGAAAAUUUUUUUUCCGCAGUUUUACGUGGAAUCAAACACACCAAAACUGUAAGUUUGCUAUUUAUUGGCAGUGCAAAAUGGGAAUUAGAGAUGAUAAGCUGUCAGCAGUUGCCUCGCUGGCUCAAAUUCCCGCUGGCUGCAUGUGAUUGGAACUGCCACCCGAUCGAGCUGUCACUCCACUACUUUUAAUUAAUAUUAUAUAAUUAAUCUUAGCCGAUUAAAAUACAUAAUUAUUAAAAUUUUAAAAAUAAAAAUUAUAUUAAAAAUGUAAGACAAAUUAUAAAAUAGUCUUAUAUACAUUAUAAAAUAUAAUUUUUUAAUUAAUAUUUUCUUAACUUUCAAUAUUUAUAGAGUUGAAUUAUUUUAAUAAUUUUAUUUAAAACAUUACUAAAACUUUAAGGUAGCGUUUGGUUCGGGUAUAAGUAAGAACUAUCUAUUACAGGGAUAGGUACAAAUAUGGGGAUAAGAAAAAUAACGUUUGGAUAAAAAUUAGAUUGUUCACGGGAAUAAAAAAAAUAGCGUUUGAAUAGACAAUAUGGAAUAAGAAAAAUAGUUAGUAAUUAUAUAUAAAAAAUGAAGGUAUUGGUGGAGAUAGUUAUACCAACUUAUUUCAAGUACGUGAGAACUACUAUUCUCGGAUAAAAAUUGAUUUGGCCCCACCCCUUCCCCCGUUUUCCCCCCUCCCCCCUUAUCCCUCCCAUCCAAACGGUGCCAUAAUAUAGUUUUGAUGGCUAUUCUAUCAGUAAAUUUUUUUAAUUAAAAAGUUAAAGUUAGAGAACUUAUUUUAAAUUAAAGAAUAGGUGAGGAUGUUGCUAUAUUAUUAAAAUUAAUUGAAAGAAAAGAAAGGCCAAUUUGCAUAAAAAAUCCACUUAUUUUGGGCUUUUGCAAAACCGGGCCACCUUUUUCGUUUUUGCAGAUUCAGUCCGCUUUUUUCGCCGCCUGACCAAAAUGCCCCUCCUAUACAAUAGCCUCCCGCGCGUAUUUCUUGACAUACGUACACUACCCUACUACCCUGCCGUACGGUCUGGCGCGCAUUAAAUGACCGCUUAUUUCUCGGAACCCGGACAACAUCCGCCCCCGCUAUUCGCCGGCCCCGCUGUUUCCUGUUCUGCUUAAGACUUUACGAAAUUUUCGAACGCUAUUGACAAAUAGUGCGCGCUCCGCAACAGGGAUAAUAGUGCAAUGUGAAGUCUACGAAAUGAGAAAUGGUGCAACCGACCUCUAUAACAGUGCAUCCUAGCCUCGUUCCAGUGCAAACAAACCAUAAUCAGUCAAAAUUUUACUUUCUCCAUUUCUUAAUAUAAUCUGAACUUAAAAGUGCAAAUGAACGGCGUCCCCUCCAAAUGCAGGCGAAGCGUCGGCGGCGCAGGACGGUCGCUACCGGGUAGGACGGUCGGCGAUGUGCGACAAAAGAGUCGGCAGGCCAGGAAGCUCUGCGGCGGGGCUGGACGGUCGCCGGCGGGGUUCGGAGUUCGAGAGGGCCGACAUAACGGCUAAACGAUUGUGUAAAGUUUUCCUAUAAAAGAUCACGCGUCCUUUUGCUUGUUAAAUAAGUUCACAGUUAAGCGCGAAUAAUAGUGCAAGGCAGUGUUAACUACAAAACAAUAUUUUUCAAAAGAGUGCAAAGAAGCUCGUAAGAGUGCAAUACGGGGAAAUAACAGUCUAAUGGAUUUUAUCUACGAGUG
rnacentral:lncRNA from 1 species